rnacentral:rRNA from 1 species
GACGAACGCUGGCGGCGUGCUUAACACAUGCAAGUCGAACGGUAAGGCCUUUCGGGGUACACGAGUGGCGAACGGGUGAGUAACACGUGGGUGAUCUGCCCUGCACUUCGGGAUAAGCCUGGGAAACUGGGUCUAAUACCGGAUAGGACCCUGGGAUGCAUGUCCUGGGGUGGAAAGCUUUUGCGGUGUGGGAUGGGCCCGCGGCCUAUCAGCUUGUUGGUGGGGUGAUGGACUACCAAGGCGACGACGGGUAGGCGGCCUGGGAGGGUGACCGGCCACACUGGGACUGAGGUACGGCCCAGACUCCUACGGGAGGCGGCAGUGGGGAAUAUUGGACAAUGGGCGCAAGCCUGAUGCAGCGACGCCGCGUGAGGGAUGACGGCCUUCGGGUUGUAAACCUCUUUCAGCACCGACGAAGCGCAAGUGACGGUAGGUGCAGAAGAAGGACCGGCCAACUACGUGCCAGCCGCCGCGGUAA